rnacentral:rRNA from 1 species
AUGGGCCACAUAGUUUGUCUAAUCAGUUCCUUGUCCCAAUUGUUGGAAGCAGGGUCAAUCAGGUCACUCACUUUUGAUAGCAAAUGGCUCCCCCUAGGGGUCACAAUCUUCCUAGCAUCUUCCCAGAUAUUGAUGUUAUGUCCAUUACCCACUCGCCAAAUAUAGCCACGUUUUAGAGUAGUUAUACCUGCCAUAAUGCUCUGCCAGGUGAAAGAAGCGCCACGCUUCGGCUUAGACUUCAGCAAAUCGCCAUCAGGGUAGUACUUGGCCCUCAGAAUAGUGGCACACAAGGAAUCAGGAUUAUCUAUAAGACGCCAUGCUUGUUUGGCGAGCAAAGCCAGGUUGAAACAGUGGAUAUCACGGAAUCCCAUUCCACCUUGGUUUUUUGGUACACACAUUUUCCACCAGGCCAUCCAGUGCAUCCUCCUCUGGUUCUCCUCGUCACCCCACCAGAAAUGCGCUAUCGCGUCAAUGAUUCCUUUACAUUUUUUUUAG